CCUAAGAGUUCUGGGCCGCACGCGCGCUACACUGACGGACCAGCGAGUAUAAGCCUUGGCCGAGAGGUCUGGGAAAUCUUGUGAAACUCCGUCGUGCUGGGGAUAGAGCAUUGUAAUUGUUGCUCUUCAACGAGGAAUUCCUAGUAAGCGCAAGUCAUCAGCUUGCGUUGAUUACGUCCCUGCCCUUUGUACACACCGCCCGUCGCUACUACCGAUUGAAUGGCUUAGUGAGGCCUCCGGAUUGGUUUAGGAAAGGGGGCAACCUCAUUCUGGAACCGAGAAGCUGGUCAAACUUGGUCAUUUAGAGGAAGUAAAAGUCGUAACAAGGUUUCCGUAGGUGAACCUGCGGAAGGAUCAUUACUGAUUUGCUUAAUUGCACCACAUGUGUUUUUCUUUGAAACAAACUUGCUUUGGCGGUGGGCCCAGCCUGCCGCCAGAGGUCUAAACUUACAACCAAUUUUUUAUCAACUUGUCACACCAGAUUAUUACUAAUAGUCAAAACUUUCAACAACGGAUCUCUUGGUUCUCGCAUCCAUGAAGAACGCAGCGAAAUGCGAUACGUAAUAUGAAUUGCAGAUAUUCGUGAAUCAUCGAAUCUUUGAACGCACAUUGCGCCCUCUGGUAUUCCGGAGGGCAUGCCUGUUUGAGCGUCGUUUCUCCCUCAAACCGCUGGGUUUGGUGUUGAGCAAUACCACUUGGGUUUGCUUGAAAAACGGUAGUGGUAAAGCGGGAUCCCUUUGACAAUGGCUUAAGUCUAACCCAAAACAUUGCUUGGGGGGGUAACGUCUACCCCGUAUAUCUUCAAACUUUUGACCUCCAAUCAGGGAGGACUACCCGCUGAACUUUAGCCUUUCAAUAAGCGGGAGGGAAAAAAAAACCCCACCGGGGGAUUGGCCUCCCUUAACCGGCCAAAAUGGAAACCGGCCAAAAAGCCCCC
rnacentral:rRNA from 1 species